UUCUAAUUUUAAGUGCACAGUAACUCCAAGGGAAACAAGUCCAGCGUUCGACACCUGGGAACAAAUAAUUAGGGGCUUUUUUUUUCCUCUCCUUUUUUCCUCUUCCCUUUCUCAUUCAUUCCCAUCCUCGCUUGACGCUUCAUUCCCAAUCUCCUUCAAUUCCCUCAACAACCUACUCACCUUCAAAUUCAACACUUCACUCAACAUCUUGCUCACCUGCCCAAUCCCCUUCAAUUUCUUAACUUGAAGCUUCCCAGCUAGGGUUUCGAUUUCACAUCCAAUUACUCGAUCGAAGAAGGCAACUGCGAUUUUUCUCUCUAACAGGGCCUAUUUUCCGUGCUCCAUGAAUGCCACCUUUCCAGUAAACUCCUCUGCUACCUGUAAUCUUGAACUGCCUUGCAGUUGAUGCACAUAGAAUCUUUUGCCUUCUGCUGGCAUCCUCCAACGUGGACAACUAGUCUGCUAAAGUAAAAAGGUUCCAGUUGUGGUUUGGUACGUAAACCUUGUUUCAAUUUUGAGUUGAACUUGGUUGUGCUAAAGUGAUGUAUUGGUCUAGUUUAAGCUUCCCACCAUUCUGGAUGAAAUUCAACAUGAUUAGUAUAAGGUGUUAAGAUUUCUCCUGAAUUACAAUUUUUUUAUGUUUUUUUCUUCUUUUACUUAUCUUUACACGUGAAUCUCUAAUCAGCUCAUCAAUA